rnacentral:rRNA from 1 species
GACGAACGCUGGCGGCGUGCUUAACACAUGCAAGUCGAACGGAAAGGCCCUGCUUUUGUGGGGUGCUCGAGUGGCGAACGGGUGAGUAACACGUGAGUAACCUGCCCUUGACUUUGGGAUAACUUCAGGAAACUGGGGCUAAUACCGGAUAGGAGCUCCUGCUGCAUGGUGGGGGUUGGAAAGUUUCGGCGGUUGGGGAUGGACUCGCGGCUUAUCAGCUUGUUGGCGGGGUAGUGGCUUACCAAGGCUUUGACGGGUAGCCGGCCUGAGAGGGUGACCGGCCACAUUGGGACUGAGAUACGGCCCAGACUCCUACGGGAGGCAGCAGUGGGGAAUAUUGCACAAUGGGCGGAAGCCUGAUGCAGCAACGCCGCGUGCGGGAUGACGGCCUUCGGGUUGUAAACCGCUUUCGCCUGUGACGAAGCGUGAGUGACGGUAAUGGGUAAAGAAGCACCGGCUAACUACGUGCCAGCAGCCGCGGUGAUACGUAGGGUGCGAGCGUUGUCCGGAUUUAUUGGGCGUAAAGGGCUCGUAGGUGGUUGAUCGCGUCGGAAGUGUAAUCUUGGGGCUUAACCCUGAGCGUGCUUUCGAUACGGGUUGACUUGAGGAAGGUAGGGGAGAAUGGAAUUCCUGGUGGAGCGGUGGAAUGCGCAGAUAUCAGGGGGAACACCAGUGGCGAAGGCGGUUCUCUGGGCCUUUCCUGACGCUGAGGAGCGAAAGCGUGGGGAGCGAACAGGCUUAGAUACCCUGGUAGUCCACGCUGUAAACGGUGGGUACUAGGUGUGGGGUCCAUUCCACGGGUUCCGUGCCGUAGCUAACGCUUUAAGUACCCCGCCUGGGGAGUACGGCCGCAAGGCUAAAACUCAAAGGAAUUGACGGGGCCCCGCACAAGCGGCGGAGCAUGCGGAUUAAUUCGAUGCAACGCGUAGAACCUUACCUGGGUUUGACAUGGAUCGGGAGCGCUCAGAGAUGGGUGUGCCUCUUUUGGGGUCGGUUCACAGGUGGUGCAUGGCUGUCGUCAGCUCGUGUCGUGAGAUGUUGGGUUAAGUCCCGCAACGAGCGCAACCCUUGUUCACUGUUGCCAGCACGUUAUGGUGGGGACUCAGUGGAGACCGCCGGGGUCAACUCGGAGGAAGGUGGGGAUGACGUCAAGUCAUCAUGCCCCUUAUGUCCAGGGCUUCACGCAUGCUACAAUGGCUGGUACAGAGAGUGGCGAGCCUGUGAGGGUGAGCGAAUCUCGGAAAGCCGGUCUCAGUUCGGAUUGGGGUCUGCAACUCGACCUCAUGAAGUCGGAGUCGCUAGUAAUCGCAGAUCAGCAACGCUGCGGUGAAUACGUUCCCGGGGCU